UUACUUUGAAACCACUUGGCAUUCUGAUAAAAAACAAGAAAAAUUUGUAAGUAUUUUUUUUUAUCAAUACCACUAGCUUAUAGACCCCGUAAUCAACGCUAUAACUGCUGACAAGUAGAACUUGAAUGUCAUUAGGAGAGUGAACAACAUUUAUAAUGUAUUCAUUUUUUUUUCUUUUGUGUACUAGUUCAUUAUUAAAAAAUACUAAUAUUUUAGUUAUAUAUAUAUAAUAUUGUUAGUGUGCACUUUAAAUAACUAAAUAAGUAACAAGGAUAUUGCACAUAGGCAAAUCCACGAGG